ACAUUCAGGUAAUCGCUGCAACGUUUGUUGUAGAGGAAAGUCCAUGCUCGCACGGUGCUGAGAUGCCCGUAGUGUUCGUGCCUAGCCAAUUCAUAAGCUAGGGCAGUCUGCUUCUGCAGAUUGACGGCAGGGAAAACACCUAAGUCCUAUGGAUAUGGUGUGAAUACCUUGAAAGUGCCACAGUGACGGAGUCUUGCAAGAAAUUGCAAGAGUGGAACGAGGUAAACCCCACGAGCGAGAAACCCAAAAUAAGGUAGGGGCACCUUCUUUGAGGAACUCAACGAGAAGAAGGACGAAACAGUUGUUUCGUAGAUAGAUGAUUGCCGCCGGAGUACGAGAUGACCCAUCGCUUGCAGUACGAAGGAACAAAACAUGGCUUACAGAA
rnacentral:RNase_P_RNA from 14 species